UGGAAUCUCCUUUUGACUUACUUCUUUUAAAGGUUAGUGCCAUAACUUUUCCCCUUCUAGUGAAAAUGAUGACCUAUCCAUGUGUUGGGGCUUUAUAGGUUUCCAACUUCUAAUAAUAUAUUUGCGGGCCAAAAGCCUAGGAGCUGGCAUCUAUGGAAUUCUUUUGUUAGGUAGGUUAUGUGAAGCAUAUAGGUUACACUGCUGGAUGGGGCUCAGUCUACAGAAAAUUCCAGGGAUUUUUAUUAUAGUACCAUGGAGGAAAAAAAAACUAGUGGUGCUAUACUGUUAGGAAGUUUCUGUUUUCAGACAGUCUAAAUAGCACAUGAUAUUUGAUCCAUGCUUCUAGUUUACCAAGGAAUUUCAUGUGAUCUAGUACUUGGAGGGACGUGCUCCUGACUUCAGCAUGAACAUCUACUAUUGGGAUGCUAUCGAUUUCCCUUUUCGGCUCCCCCCUCCCCCCCUGCUUGUCUCGGCACUGCAACCUGGAUAAUUUUCCGUGAUCAUUGAUUUGUGCCAGCCUUGAAAUGUUAAAUCGCAUCUGCAAGCUCAAAGGAAGCUUCUGUGUUGUGUGAAGCUAAAAUGUACAUUAGUGUGUGAUGAUGGGAAAAUUUCAUGGAGAGCACCUGUUGCGUGUCGAAAUAGUAGAUUGUGUUGGAGAAUAAAGGUAAAUGUUCGAUCUCUGAGGCCCGAAAGUUUACCUAAAUUUAAUUCUGAGUUCGCUUCAUUUUAUUUAUUUUGGAAGAUAUCCGAGGCUUAAUAUUAUGGGAAGUCCAUGGUGCACUGUUCUAAAUUACUCAAAUUUCAUGAUGCUCUUCUAAAUUACUCGAUUGGAUAUGUAGAGACUCGAUCGUGGCAGACAUCUCGUACAGGUUUCUCUAUUGGUCAAACACCAUCCAAAUUGGGCUCCAAUGGUCCUUUGAGCAACAACCAUCGAUCUUACUUGUAUAGUUUGAGGAAGUUUUUGGUUGAUUCAUUGACGUGUGCGGUCUGUUAACUUAUCUAAACAAUUUGUUCGUGAGCUGUGCCUUCCAUUGGGUUUUAUGUUUGAUUGUUGCAGGAAGAGCUAAGUUUUGUAUUAAGUUAUAGUCAAACAAGUACUAGCAGUAGACGGAUCAUGUUCAGUUCGGUAGCCAAGUUGGAUGCCAACGUGCAUUAUGAAUUACUUGUAGUCUUGUACCAAUAAUUAGCUGAUUUGAUGUGGCUUUAAUUUGAGGUUUGACGAGUUACACAUUUGUGUCACAAUAUACAAUUUGUAACUCCCACAUGGUCACCAUUUCUCUAAAAAAGACAAAACUUCCCAUGACUAUUGCGUAUAGCUGACCAGAUAUAUAACUGCAGUGAAACUUUAUAGAAUCUGACAUUCAUUGUCAUAAAGUAUCUACACUGUGGUACUAGAAACACUUUUGCCCAUUGUUCACCGCCACAUGCAUAUCAAUAUUACGUAGACAUAGAUCAGGCCAUGUCUAGAUCCCAUUCUGGAGUACUGCCAUUGGAUGUUUCCAUGUACCCUAUCAACAAUUUGUUUAAUCUAUGUGAAGGAGAGGCAAUUCUGUGGCUCUCAGAAUGCAAACCAAAAUUACUUAUCUACUAGAAUAACAUGUCAUGUUUGCAAAAUAAGUGACAACAACUUACAUUUAACAGUGUGACGAUCUAACUAUCGAUAAAACAAGCUGCUCUUCAUUCGCUAGUGAUGUUUCAAGACAAAUCAUGGUACUCUUACGUUUCUCCAAUGCAAGCUGCCAAGUUUGUUUUUAAACAACCUCUGAAGUUAGUCAACAUUCGUUACUGCUAUUGAAGUUCAUUCAGUGCUAUUGAUAAAUUGGCUUUCUGCUAUUUGAGUAAUUCACGCUAUAUAAUCCUAUAUCCCUUUAAUUAGUUAUCCUAUCACACAUUUUUUCAGCAGAACAUUACAAGCAUUGGUUUUCAUCCUACAUUACAUCAGACAUCAUCAGAUGUAAUUCGGAAUAGUACUGCCUUGCUGUCUCGGCUUCUAUGGAAGUGUCCCAAUGAAGUGGACUUCUUUGCAGGUUUUAUUACAGUAUGUUGCAAUUUUCCAUAAUAUUCUGAGGUGCCAAUUAUGAUACAUUGUUUUAUAUUUUAUUAUAUAUACACUUUGAAUGAGUGCUUCCACAUGAUCAUUUAAUAUAUCAAUGGCUACAUGUCCCCAGUAUUUGAUGUUAGUAAACAUUUCAUAUGGGCACUGUAUCAGAGUAAAUAUAGGUAUACAUUUGUGAGAGGAACGAAAAAUCCAGUUUAUGUUAUUAUACAGAUUCAUGUCAUUGGUCCGCAAUUCCAUGUCAUGGGCUGAAAAAUGGAAGUAUUAUCUGAGCACACAUUAUACAGGGAAUGCAAAGAGGUACUGGUGAUCUGCCCUAGAUAUGACCACCAAAAAAUCACUUGAUUCUCCUUUAUAGCUGUACCAUUUAUUUUAUGAAUGAGCAUCAAUAAAAGAACUGUGUCUCCUGAGCCGUCCUUUUCUGAUUCUGUGAAAAAGAGAUACAUGUGCAUUUGGUCAAGUAUUAUCUAUUACUCUCUCCGUCCUAUAAUAUAAGAGUGUUUUUGACACUAGCGCUCUUAUAUUAUGGGGCUCUUAUAUUAUGGGACGGAGGGAGUAUAUCAUAUUAACCAAAAAGCACUAUAAAUUGAGCUGAACUUUUAUAUUUGUUAUGUACUCCCUCUGUUCCAAAAUAAGAACUAAAACCAUGACACUUAUUUUGGAACGGAGGGAGUAGUAGUUACUGACAAUGUGUGAAAUGUCUUUAUUUUCCUGUGGUAAAAUGAUGGAAUGUGAUUAUUUUUCAUCGUCCAUUUAUUUAUUAAAUAUACAUGAAACUUGCUUAUACAUCAUUCUUCUUGGACAGACUCUGAGAUCUUACACUGAUAUCCUGUGUAUACUACGAGUUGACAAAUCAUAUCACACCUUGUUUAGAAUGUUUUUUUUCCAAAAUAAGUUUUUCAACUGAUAAUGCUAUAUAAGUUCUUCAUAGAUGAAAAAAAAGUAAAAACAUACAUGUUCUUUCGAGUAUUAACAAUCAAGCUCUUUCAUACUAUGUGGUUUAUAGUUUCAUUCUCAUCUGUUUUAUUUUUUGAUUAAUUAAGCGGGAUGUAUUCUCUGGCUUCGUUAACGAAGGCCAAUUUAUUCUCAUCUAAUAUUAUGUAUUUAUAUGUGUGCUCUCAGGGAUGGAUAGUUUUGUGAUAUCGUGCCUGUAUCCAGAUGAUAUGCACUCCCAUUUUAGCUGCAAUCAGAUUUUUUAACUGUGCAUAUAAUCUCUGACAGAUCUGCAAUCACCAAGGUACCCGCAGAAAUAUCUAUCUACGUACUAUCUAACUGAUCAUGCUGGAGUGGAGCUGCUGCUGGCAUACUUUAGCUUAUUUACGUACUUUCUGAUUCAAAAGGUUCGCUGUUUAUUUUAUCUUUCUAAACUGGCGAUGAUCAAUGCUGAAAAUACUUGACGAGUCUGUAUACAUAUUGCAAGUCAACAGCAUUCAGUUCAUUUUUACUGGCACCACAUGGAGUUUAUAGUUUAGCGAUAUUCCUUGAACACAUGCAUAAAUUUGUUUCAAGUCUGACAGUAGCAGCUGAGCGCCAAAGUCAUUCUCAGCGAGCACCUGGCACCCGUCACCGUUGCCUGGAAAAUUGCCGCCUAUGUUCUCCUGUGGUGCUGGUGAUGCUCCUGCUCUAUGUGUAAGUCAAUUUUGGCAUGGAUCCAGAGUUUCUCCACGUCGCUGUUAUGAUGGCAGGUGUUUUGGACUAGGACUUCUAAAUUUGGCUGAGAUCAGCUCGUAGUGCUUCUCUUUGAAUCUCUCCUCUGUGACUCUGCAAAAAAUGGUCACUGCUAUCUCUCCUGGCUAAAUUGAAAAUGUUCAGGUGGGUUUCGCGCCCCCAUAACCCCCCUCCCCCCUCUUCCCCCACCAAAAAAAACUGACAGUUGAUAGUUCUGUGAGGCAAGUAGUUUUACCUCUAUGGAAGAAGAAAGACACCAGGCACAUUCAAGUUUCUCCAGGCCAUGCAAAAGCCACACAGCAGAGGUAGAGAGCAAGGUGUAGCCAAGGACGGACUUGCCGGCAAGAUUACUACCACCUUGUUGUGUGCUGUCGGCAAGUCAUCCUUGGCUGCAUUCCACUCUCUGCCUCUUUCUGCAUGGCUCUUGCGGCAGCGAACUCUUCACUCCGAUUUCUCAUCUCUCUCAGCUAUUCAGCUAUGGGUGUGCUUCUGGUAUACAUCGAGGGGAGGGUAUUUAUAGGGGCAGCACUACAACUAGAUCUGGCACGAUAGUGAAAUCUCGUUUUGACUUAAUCUUUUAAAAAGUUAUUGGCAUAACUUUUUCCUUGAGUGAAAAUGAUUACCUGUCCACACAUUGAGGCUUUAUGGAUUUCCAACUUUUAAGAAUAUAUUUGCUGGCUAAAAGGCUGGGAGCUGGCAUCUAUUGAAUUGUUCUGUUAGGUAGGUUAUGUGAAGUAUCUAGGUUAGACUGAUGGAUAGGACUCAGUCUACAGAGGAUUCCAGGGCUUUUGAUUAAAGUGUAUAGUAUCAUGGAGGAAAAACUUAGUGCUGCUAUACUGUAGGGUAGUUUCUGUUUUUCAGCCUGUCCAAAUGGCUUCUCGUGUUGUAUGAUGCAUCAUCGUAUGAUAUUUGAUCCAUGUCUCAAGUUUACCAAGGGAUUUCAUGUGGUUAUGGUAUUUGUGCAGGACAAGACGUGCUUCUGGCUUGGGCAUGCUGUGACAAAUACUAUUAUGCACCCAAUGAAUGGGUACUGUUAGUUUGCUACCCAAAUUUUGACAAUAUCAAGACUGGCCAAAAAUUGGCACCUUUUUGUGAGGUUGGCAAAAAAAAUUGGGAAUCAACCAAUCACUUGCCAAUAUUUGGCAAGUUCAUAGCCAACCAAUCACUAGCCAAAUAAAUAUUGGCAUCAAACCAAUCAUAUGCUCUGAGAAUGCAUUUCUUAUCUUUGUCCUGGUGGUGGGUGUCUUCUUUUUUUUUUUGGGGGGGGGGGGGGGGCGUGGGGGAUAUCGCGUGUGUUAAUGGAUUUGGCCUGCUUUAAACAAAAACGUACACAGUUUGUACUAGAGGCUUAAUAAGCACCUCUAGUGGUCAUGAAAGAACCCAAAAAGUAUGGACAACAUUUGCACAUGAUGCAUAUGCCUUACCAGAAAAUUUAGAAUCCAAACUCGAUCAAUACACCAAGAAAUAAGAAAAGACAACCGCACUAUGAGUAGUACCUGGAAGCCACUACUACUAUUUCCGACAAGGAUUAUCUUUUUGUUCUUGACAUCUAGACUUGAUUUGGUCUUGAAUUUUCUUGCCGCGGUAGACAAGUGUUGUAAAAAAUAGCAGAACUUCUCAUGACAAUUGGAGAUGGUUAAGUGUGUCUUAGUGCACUAGCACAUCUCAUGUGCCUAGAGCAUGCAAUAUCCCCUUGUUCAGUCGUAUACUUAAGAAAUAUGUCUUUCUUGCUCCUAUUCUAUCCAUUUAUAUGGCAGGAGUAGAUUUAGAAAUCGUGUCUAUCAAACAGGUUUGAAAUUGAAUAGUGUCUUUGUUAGUUCAAUAUAAUCUGAAAUUUGUACUUACUAUAUUUACUCUCUUUAUAUUCCAUUUGAUGUUCAGAGUAAAGACUAGUUAUUCCUUGCAUUCUUAGUGCGAAAUUUCUUUGUGGGUACUAAUACUGGAGUUCUCUUAAAAUCAUAUACGCUGCAAUGAUGUGGUCAGUGUCGAGUCAUACUCCCUCUGUUCCAAGUUACUUGAAGUUUUAGCUUUGUCCUAAGUCAAACUUUUUAAACUUUGACCAAGUAUACAAAAAAUAUGCUAAUAUCUACAACAUAAAAACGUAUAUUGUAUGAAAAUAUGAUUUAUGACAAAUCUUAUGAAACUAAUUUGGUAUUGUAAAUUUGAGAUAUCUUUUUGCAGACUUGGUUAAACUUAAAGAUGUUUUGACAUAGCAAAGCUAGAACUUCAAAUAACUUGGAACAGAGGGAGUACUUGUCAAGCAUUAAUGCUUGUUAUCUUUCGAGAAAACUGAUAUUUUUGUUAUUGAUCUGCAUUUGGUAGCCCUUGUAUAAUACUAAUGUUGGUUUCAUGAAGUAACCGAAGCUUCAUUUGUGACAUGUCUUGCCAACAAAUCCUGAUUUUGUUUUCUGACAUUAACAGAGUGAUCUCUUUUGUUGUUGGUUCAUGAUGACACAUGCAUCUGGGCAUCUUAUUAUGCUGCAUUACCACAUGAUUUAUUAGCACACAUCAUUCAACUUAAAUCUGUAAAUAAUGACCAGUACAAUUAUUAUUACCUGGUGCAUCAAAAAGUACAUUGGCUGGUAUCGCUGAUUUGUUUGAAUAUUACAGCUACCGACUUCCUUUGUGACUUCUUAUGUAAAAGAGAAAAUCACAUCUAAAUAAUGUACCAUCUGUUCUCUCUGUAUAUUCAAGUGAGUUUCCGUAUAUAUAUUCAAGUACUCUCAGACUCAUGCGAUACUUGUCAUGGAGGGUUGUGGAUUUGUCGUGACCAUGUGUUCUAGACUUUCUAGAUUACAAUAUCAGUGUUAGCAUGAAGCCCAUAUAUUGGAGUCCAAUAAAACCAUGUUCCGUCAUCUAUCAACCAUUCAACUUUGAGGUAAUGAAGGAUGCUCAAUGUGGAACGUGUUUUGCUUCGAAUAGAAAACGUAAUUCUGAUGUCACAAUUAAAACAGUUGAUGCUGACAAGUUUCAUCAUUUUUAUUAUGAUUUUUUUAAAUAAAAGUUAGAUAUAGAGCCUUACUAGUUACUCCGCGUUGUUCCCUUCAGAAAGCUGCAUCAGUCAUUAACUCAUUAUUAUGGUUUAUCGAUCCUGAGCAUUCACCCAUGAUACCUUGCAUCGGGAAAAUGUUUAGUUUUUGUGCUAAUAAUGAGGUAAAGCUCUUGUUAACAUCGUCACCUUUGGGCUUUUAGCCAAUAAAGUAAAGUGCUCUAUUCAAAGGACAUGAACAGGACAACAACACUGAUUACUUGAGGAAUGAAGUUGUCCAUUCUUUUUUGUAUUGAAAAGGGAAUGCGGUGCUUUUGUAACAUGGUUACAUUGCUGAUGCACCUCCUGCUUCCUGUCCUACAUGAUUAAGAUUUUCUUUUGUGUAUACAUAAUCUCUGUGGUACAAUAUUGCAAGUACAAUUUCUGCCGCCAUGUGAGAGCCUCGAGGAAUCUUUUGUCACGCAGUGCGUUCUGUACAUCCUUCGGACUUUCAUUUUCGUCAGGGGGUACCACAAGAAAGCCAAUCUCUUAUCUUAAAAAAAUCAUGUAUUAGCAUAAAAUAAUGGCAAAGGAAUGAUGAUAUCGUCUGAUAUAUACAUAUGGAAUUGUACAGAUCUGAUGUUAAGUGGAGGUUGAGCUCGUAUCCAUGCCUUUUGUACUUAUGUUUUCUGUUCAUGCAUUUCCAUUGCAGAUAGAACAGUAAUAAGCUAUUCUUUUUACUUUCCAUAUAUACAUAUAUAGAGCUGGAAUUGUUUUAUGUCUGAGUAGAGGUUGAACUAGCUUGAGAUGCUAAGAGCUGGCUAGCUAGAGAUGCAUACCUUUUAUGCUUUGCGUACUUACUUAUUCAUGUAUUUCCAUGAUGGAAGUUGAUAGAAAUGCAGGCAUUAGAGUUUUCUCAGCAAUGCUCGAGGGCCAAACACCAGAAGAAGAGAACUAGGUGUAGCCAAGGACAACUUGCCGGCUAACUCUAAAGCUCAGUGAACUCCCAACACCAGGAGCCGGCAAGUCAUCCUUGGCUGCAUCCCGUUCUCUGCCUCUUAGCGUAUGGCAACCCAGCAGAAUCCUCGCCAGUAUACGCUCUACAGGCAAUCCAAGUACUUACUACUACAAGUUGAUGCAGAAAGUUAGGCGGCAGGGAGCCGCCAUGACAACACCAGAUCGAAUCAAUAAGUCAGCUGGUGAAAAUUGAAUGCUGGUGUGCUUCUGAGGCAUCUGAGCUAAUGGGUUCGUGCAGUGAUCUGGUGCCUAUCGCAUUGGGGAACACAAAGCUAGUUGAUGUCCACAUGCACUUGUGAGUUGUGAGUGGCUCAGGUAUUUUGACCUGAAAAAGUGGCUCAACCAUGAGAAUGAGCUUUCUGUUGGAAUAAUCAUAAAUGAAAAAUGUGUACAUAAAUGCAUAUUCCUUGUUAAAGAUUUAGGUCGACACACUACUUUUUGGAGAAAAAGAUUUGUUUUGCCAUGUGCACGGCAGAAAGUCAAGAUAUGGUACAGCUUGCUACCACUAAUUUUGUGAUUAUUAUUCGGAAUAUAUAUUUACGCAAACAAUAACUUGUCAAUUCCACUUGCGAUUAUGCUUGUGAGAUCCAUGAUCUUAGGGUCAUACUGGGUGUGCUAGCGAAUCUCGUUGUGUGCCACAAAUUUUCUUUUAAACAUUGUAUAAACGCAAAUGCUCACAUAAACGCAAGUGCAUUCACCAACACACACAUAUAAUUUACCCUUAUGAGCAUCUAUGAGCUAACAAAUCCUACUUUCUCCGUCUAGUGCAUAAGUCAUCUUAGGUUGUGCUCCGCGACCAAGGCGGAGGAAAAAAAUGAGAGAACUUAAUGUUUAUUUGCUAAUUAAUACUAUUGCAUGCAAUGAACUGAUUAUUGCAUGUCGUGUUUGGUAAUCUCAAGUCAUUAAAAGCAUACACGCCCCACAUCUUUUAUUGAUUGAUUCUUUUAUUUAUCUCAAAAAACAAGAAACGAGAUGGGAGUUAAUGCACCGCGCCUAAGUGUUAUGAGAUUAUUUGAUUUUUCUAAGAUGACUUAUACACCUAGGCAGAGGGAGUAACAUUGAUGAAGUCGUCACAUGCCUCUCGUAGUGGAUGAGGGUAUGCUAGGAUACUAUUUACUCCAUUGUUAAAUUUGGUACUGUUCAAAACCAAAUCCGUUUUCUUUGUCUAUGAAAUUUUGAAUGGAAGAUGUGAAAUUUUGUGGCAAAUUAGAGCACACCAUAAAAAUGUUUGUCAAAUGUUUUAACAACU